GGACCUGACUGCUAUCGGAUUGAUACUAAGCCAUGCGAGUCAUUGUAGUAAUACAAGGCAGACGGCUCAGUAACGCGUAGUCAACCUAACCUAUGGACGGGGAUAACCUCGGGAAACUGAGUAUAAUGCCCGAUAGAACAUUAUGCCUGGAAUGGUUUAUGUUCCAAAUGAUUUAUCGCCGUAGGAUGGGACUGCGGCCUAUCAGUUUGUUGGUGAGGUAAUGGCCCACCAAGACUAUUACAGGUACGGGCUCUGAGAGGAGUAGCCCGGAGAUGGGUACUGAGACACGGACCCAGGCCCUAUGGGGCGCAGCAGGCGAGAAAACUUUGCAAUGUGCGAAAGCACGACAAGGUUAAUCCGAGUGGUUUCUGCUAAAGGAACCUUUUGACAGUCCUAGAAACACUGUUGAAUAAGGGGUGGGCAAGUUCUGGUGU
rnacentral:rRNA from 1 species